rnacentral:rRNA from 1 species
AGGACGAACGCUGGCGGCGUGCUUAACACAUGCAAGUCGAGCGGAAAGGCCCUUCGGGGUACUCGAGCGGCGAACGGGUGAGUAACACGUGGGCAACCUGCCCCUAGCUCUGGGAUAACUCCGGGAAACCGGUGCUAAUACCGGAUACGACUUCCUCCGGCAUCUGAGGAAGUGGAAAGUUUUUCGGCUAGGGAUGGGCCCGCGGCCUAUCAGCUUGUUGGUGGGUCACGGCCCACCAAGGCGACGACGGGUAGCCGG